GACAGCACAGCGGCAGCAGCACACUACAGCCCUGGGAGCUGCCUGUAUUCCCGGAUGUGGCUCCCAAUCCCCACUGCCCUGGAGCAAAGGUGACGGAGAAUAGGCACGGACCAGUUAACAUCCUAGGUGCGGAUUGGCCAAUGCUCCUCACUGGGAAGAUUUUGGCAUUUGGCCCCGUCCCCCUGUUUGAUCACUCUCGUUAGAUGGACAUUUACUACCUGCCGUCGGCUCUGCACCUCCUGCUAUGGGAUGGGAAACUGGAGGAAAAUCCUGUAAAUCUUCUGGGGGUUGGAGCUCUGUCUCUGGAUAGGUGGUUUUGGCGAGCGCUAUUCCCCCUGUACCGUGUCAGCGCUCAGGAUGAGGGAUGGUGUACUGUAACGCACACAAGAACUGGCUGCCUCUUCCUUACCACCCAACACAAGAACUGGCUGCCUCUUCCUUACCACCCAACACAAGAACUGGCUGCGUCUUCCUUCCCACCAAAGACAUCCCAAAACAUUCAAAGUAAACUUAAAAAUGAGAUAUU